rnacentral:rRNA from 1 species
AGAAGAAAUCAACCGAGAUUCCGGUAGUAGCGGCGAGCGAACCUGGAUUAGCCCUUAAGCACUCGGUGAAGUAGGUGAACAAGCUGGAAAGCUUGGCGAUACAGGGUGAUAGCCCCGUAACCGACGCUUCAUCGAGCGUGAAAUCGAGUAGGGCGGGACACGUGAUAUCCUGUCUGAAUAUGGGGGGACCAUCCUCCAAGGCUAAAUACUCCUGACUGACCGAUAGUGAACCAGUACCGUGAGGGAAAGGCGAAAAGAACCCCUGUGAGGGGAGUGAAAUAGAACCUGAAACCGUGUACGUACAAGCAGUAGGAGCACCUUCGUGGUGUGACUGCGUACCUUUUGUAUAAUGGGUCAGCGACUUAUAUUCAGUGGCAAGGUUAACCGUAUAGGGGAGCCGUAGCGAAAGCGAGUCUUAACUGGGCGCUCAGUCUCUGGAUAUAGACCCGAAACCGGGUGAUCUAGCCAUGGGCAGGUUGAAGGUUGAGUAACAUCAACUGGAGGACCGAACCGACUAAUGUUGAAAAAUUAGCGGAUGACUUGUGGCUAGGGGUGAAAGGCCAAUCAAACUCGGAGAUAGCUGGUUCUCCCCGAAAGCUAUUUAGGUAGCGCCUCGGACGAAUACUACUGGGGGUAGAGCACUGUUAAGGCUAGGGGGUCAUCCCGACUUACCAACCCUUUGCAAACUCCGAAUACCAGUAAGUACUAUCCGGGAGACACACGGCGGGUGCUAACGUCCGUCGUGGAGAGGGAAACAACCCAGACCGCCAGCUAAGGUCCCAAAGUAUUGCUAAGUGGGAAACGAUGUGGGAAGGCUCAGACAGCUAGGAUGUUGGCUUAGAAGCAGCCAUCAUUUAAAGAAAGCGUAAUAGCUCACUAGUCGAGUCGGCCUGCGCGGAAGAUGUAACGGGGCUAAGCAAUACACCGAAGCUGCGGCAAUGUCUUUUAGACAUUGGGUAGGGGAGCGUUCUGUAAGCCGUUGAAGGUGAAUCGUAAGGUUUGCUGGAGGUAUCAGAAGUGCGAAUGCUGACAUGAGUAACGACAAAGGGGGUGAAAAACCUCCUCGCCGGAAGACCAAGGGUUCCUGUCCAACGUUAAUCGGGGCAGGGUGAGUCGACCCCUAAGGUGAGGCCGAAAGGCGUAAUCGAUGGGAAACGGGUUAAUAUUCCCGUACUUCUGACUAUUGCGAUGGGGGGACGGAGAAGGCUAGGUGGGCCAGGCGACGGUUGUCCUGGUUCAAGUGCGUAGGCUUGAGAGUUAGGUAAAUCCGGCUCUCUUUAAGGCUGAGACACGACGUCGAGCUGCUACGGCAGUGAAGUCAUUGAUGCCAUGCUUCCAGGAAAAGCCUCUAAGCUUCAGAUAGUCAGGAAUCGUACCCCAAACCGACACAGGUGGUCGGGUAGAGAAUACCAAGGCGCUUGAGAGAACUCGGGUGAAGGAACUAGGCAAAAUGGUACCGUAACUUCGGGAGAAGGUACGCUCUUGAUGGUGAAGUCCCUCGCGGAUGGAGCUGACGAGAGUCGCAGAUACCAGGUGGCUGCAACUGUUUAUUAAAAACACAGCACUGUGCAAAAUCGCAAGAUGACGUAUACGGUGUGACGCCUGCCCGGUGCCGGAAGGUUAAUUGAUGGGGUUAGCGUAAGCGAAGCUCUUGAUCGAAGCCCCGGUAAACGGCGGCCGUAACUAUAACGGUCCUAAGGUAGCGAAAUUCCUUGUCGGGUAAGUUCCGACCUGCACGAAUGGCGUAAUGAUGGCCACGCUGUCUCCACCCGAGACUCAGUGAAAUUGAAAUCGCUGUGAAGAUGCAGUGUACCCGCGGCUAGACGGAAAGACCCCGUGAACCUUUACUACAGCUUGGCACUGAACAUUGAACCUACAUGUGUAGGAUAGGUGGGAGGCUAUGAAGACGUGACGCCAGUUGCGUUGGAGCCGUCCUUGAAAUACCACCCUUGUAUGUUUGAUGUUCUAACUUAGACCCAUUAUCUGGGUUGAGGACAGUGCCUGGUGGGUAGUUUGACUGGGGCGGUCUCCUCCCAAAGAGUAACGGAGGAGCACGAAGGUGGGCUAAUCACGGUUGGACAUCGUGAGGUUAGUGCAAUGGCAUAAGCCCGCUUAACUGCGAGAAUGACGGUUCGAGCAGGUGCGAAAGCAGGUCAUAGUGAUCCGGUGGUUCUGUAUGGAAGGGCCAUCGCUCAACGGAUAAAAGGUACUCCGGGGAUAACAGGCUGAUACCGCCCAAGAGUUCAUAUCGACGGCGGUGUUUGGCACCUCGAUGUCGGCUCAUCACAUCCUGGGGCUGAAGUCGGUCCCAAGGGUAUGGCUGUUCGCCAUUUAAAGUGGUACGCGAGCUGGGUUUAGAACGUCGUGAGACAGUUCGGUCCCUAUCUGCCGUGGGCGUUGGAAGAUUGAAGGGGGCUGCUCCUAGUACGAGAGGACCGGAGUGGACGAACCUCUGGUGUUCGGGUUGUGUCGCCAGACGCAUUGCCCGGUAGCUAAGUUCGGAAUUGAUAAGCGCUGAAAGCAUCUAAGCGCGAAGCGAGCCCUGAGAUGAGUCUUCCCUGAC